ACAGCUGGAGCCGUCCAGGUCUGAUUGGGAGGCCUCUUGGCCCGGAUGGUUGGAGCAGGAAGAGGAGGGGCUGGUGAUGGAGGAAAUGCCUGUUGUCCCAGGUAACCAGAGGAGCCCAUGCAGCCACCCACGGGGUACCCUGGGCUCCAGGUCAAAGGGUAGGACGCCUUUCCCCUUCCCCCGCCACCCCCCAACAGCUCUAUGGCUGGGCCCCUCCUCCUGCCACUCUCUGGUACCAGCUAAAGCACAGGGCCCACUCCCCAAACCAGAAGGCAUGCCCUCCCCUAGGCCACGAGGACCCCUCAGUGCGCACUGCCUUUCCUGCACAUCCCCUCAACGGGCCGUCCCCCACAGCAGGAAGCACAUCUAUCCAGGGCAGGCUCAUCCCCAGCGGCCACACAAUGGCCCUUAUCAGCCGUGGAGCCAGGCGUAGACCCAGUGCACACCAGGAAACCACAGGUGCCUGGAACUUUGAAGAGACUGCACCACUUCUCUGAGCCUUGGCUCUCCUGUCUGCCCAACGAAGGGUGCCAGACGGCAACCCUCCCGAUGGCUGUGUGUGUGAGAAGGAACAGGCGGGCAGUGAGGGCUUUGGAGGUCCCUAGGUGUAUGUGCUGGGGGCAGGCAUAGGUUACCGUGGGGGAAAAUUCAGCAAGAAGGGUGUGAGAGGCCGGGUGCGGUGGCUCAAGCCUGUAAUCCCAGCACUUUGGGAGGCCGA